UCCUCCGCAGCCUUUCCUCUCGCGAGCCCCCUCUCACCCACAUGCGAUUCCUCGCACCGCCGCCCGAUUUCGUCGACUUCCCGCGGGUAUGGUCGGUGCGCAGCACACCCCCAUCUUCCUCUCGCUCCGCUCCUUCCUCCCCUCUAUCUAGAUUCACAGCUCCCGGCCACUAGCACUCGCCAGCAGGCCCUCCCCAUGUCUAGGGUUUCGGCGCCGGGGCAGCUCCGAUGGAUCCUCUCCGUCACCUGCUGCUGGUGCUGCUAGAACGGGGUGGCGCGGAUGCCCUCCUCCCGCAGGAUGUGCUGAGGCGACGCAACCUGCAGUGGCAUACUUGGGAGUCGGGACGAACGCGGGCGCCACGGCCUUGUCUCCCUCGACGAUGGUGGCCGCGAACGCCGGUGGUCCUUGUCGUCCUCUACCUCCAAGGACGUGCUUCGGUACAACUCAGGCACCCCUGCCCCUGAAGCUUGUCCUCUCAUCCGGUCAUGUAUAGAUCGUCCUCGCGUGCGUCGAUUUGCCUCCUCCUCGACGUGGCACCUGCAACCUAGAUGUGGACGUGGUUUGGGUCUUCUCAUUAAGUACGCGAUGUAGCAGAGCUUGAGGCAUCAACCAAGGAGCUUGAGGCGUUGCAUUUUGAAAAAAAUAAUCAAGAAACAUAUAUCAUGUUAUUCCUACUUGGUGCAGCCUAUCACAGAUGCCAUGACAUGGUGUAGUUGGGCCAACGACAAGAAGUUGAAUAAGAAUCUUUUGUAUAUGUUUUUGAUGUAAACUGUAUUGUGUUGGUUCUAACCUUGCUAUGUGUUGUAUUUCAUCAAUUGAUGUUGUAAAUUGUCUAUUC